rnacentral:misc_RNA from 1 species
AACGCACCUUGCGCCCUUUGGCUAUUCCGAAGGGCAUGCCUGUUUGAGUAUCAUGAACAUCUCAACUCCUCACGGUUUGCCCGCGACGAGCUUGGACUUUGGGGGUCUUGCUGGCCUGCAGGUUGGCUCCUCUCAAAUGAAUCAGCUUGCCAGUGUUUGGUGGCGUCACAGGUGUGAUAACUAUCUACGCUUGUGGUUUUCCACCAGGUAACUUCCAGCAAUGGAGGUUCACUGGAGCUCACAAAUGUCUCUCCUCGGUGAGGACAGCUCUUUGAACGUUUGAUCUCAAAUCAGGUAGGACUACCCGCUGAACUUAA